rnacentral:rRNA from 1 species
AUUGAACGCUGGCGGAAUGCUUUACACAUGCAAGUCGAACGGCAGCACGGACUUCGGUCUGGUGGCGAGUGGCGAACGGGUGAGUAAUAUAUCGGAACGUAUCCAAUAAUGGGGGAUAACUAAUCGAAAGGUUGGCUAAUACCGCAUACGUCCUACGGGAGAAAGCUAGGGACCUUCGGGCCUGGCGUUAAUGGAGCGGCCGAUAUCGGAUUAGCUAGUUGGUGAGGUAAAGGCUCACCAAGGCGACGAUCCGUAGCUGGUCUGAGAGGACGACCAGCCACACUGGAACUGAGACACGGUCCAGACUCCUACGGGAGGCAGCAGUGGGGAAUUUUGGACAAUGGGCGAAAGCCUGAUCCAGCCAUUCCGCGUGAGUGAAGAAGGCCUUCGGGUUGUAAAGCUCUUUCGCAAGAGAAGAAAACUUACCCUCUAACAUAGGGUGAGGUUGACGGUAUCUUGAUAAGAAGCACCGGCUAACUACGUGCCAGCAGCCGCCGCCG